GGCCUGGUCGGGCGGUCCGCCUUUUUGGUGAGUACUGUCAUUGUGCCGGGUCUCUUCUUCUGGUGAGCUAGUGUGCUCUUCAUUGGGUGCAUUAGGGAACCAGGACUAUUACCUUGAAAAAAUUAGAGUGUUUAAAGCAGGCUCACGCUUGAAUACAUUAGUAUGGAAUAAUGAAAUAGGAUGUUGAUCUUAUUUUGUUGGUUUCUAGGAUUGACGUA
rnacentral:rRNA from 1 species